UGAGUAACACGUGGGUAAUCUGCCCUGCACUUCGGGAUAAGCCUGGGAAACUGGGUCUAAUACCGGAUAGGACCAUUUAGCGCAUGCUUUAUGGUGGAAAGCUUUUGCGGUGUGGGAUGGGCCCGCGGCCUAUCAGCUUGUUGGUGGGGUGACGGCCUACCAAGGCGACGACGGGUAGCCGGCCUGAGAGGGUGUCCGGCCACACUGGGACUGAGAUACGGCCCAGACUCCUACGGGAGGCAGCAGUGGGGAAUAUUGCACAAUGGGCGCAAGCCUGAUGCAGCGACGCCGCGUGGGGGAUGACGGCCUUCGGGUUGUAAACCUCUUUCAGCAGGGACGAAGCGCAAGUGACGGUACCUGCAGAAGAAGCACCGGCCAACUACGUGCCAGCAGCCGCGGUAAUACGUAGGGUGCGAGCGUUGUCCGGAAUUACUGGGCGUAAAGAGCUCGUAGGUGGUUUGUCGCGUUGUUCGUGAAAUCUCACGGCUUAACUGUGAGCGUGCGGGCGAUACGGGCAGACUGGAGUACUGCAGGGGAGACUGGAAUUCCUGGUGUAGCGGUGGAAUGCGCAGAUAUCAGGAGGAACACCGGUGGCGAAGGCGGGUCUCUGGGCAGUAACUGACGCUGAGGAGCGAAAGCGUGGGGAGCGAACAGGAUUAGAUACCCUGGUAGUCCACGCCGUAAACGGUGGGUACUAGGUGUGGGUUUCCUUCCUUGGGAUCCGUGCCGUAGCUAACGCAUUAAGUACCCCGCCUGGGGAGUACGGCCGCAAGGCUAAAACUCAAAGGAAUUGACGGGGGCCCGCACAA
rnacentral:rRNA from 1 species